UACGGAGGGUGCAAGCGUUAUCCGGGUUCACUGGGUUUAAAGGGUGCGUAGGAGGGCAGGUAAGUCAGUGGUGAAAUCUCCAAGCUUAACUUGGAAACUGCCGUUGAUACUAUCUGUCUUGAAUAUUGUGGAGGUGAGCGGAAUAUGUCAUGUAGCGGUGAAAUGCUUAGAUAUGACAUAGAACACCAAUUGCGAAGGCAGCUCGCUACACAUAUAUUGACUCUGAGGCACGAAAGCGUGGGGAUCAAACAGG
rnacentral:rRNA from 1 species